AAUAGAUACCCCGGUAGUCCACGCCGUAAACGAUGAGUGCUAAGUGUUAGAGGGUUUCCGCCCUUUAGUGCUGCAGCUAACGCAUUAAGCACUCCGCCUGGGGAGUACGGUCGCAAGACUGAAACUCAAAGGAAUUGACGGGGGCCCGCACAAGCGGUGGAGCAUGUGGUUUAAUUCGAAGCAACGCGAAGAACCUUACCAGGUCUUGACAUCCCACUGACCGGUAUAGAGAUAUACCUUUCCCUUCGGGGACAGUGGUGACAGGUGGUGCAUGGUUGUCGUCAGCUCGUGUCGUGAGAUGUUGGGUUAAGUCCCGCAACGAGCGCAACCCUUGAUCUUAGUUGCCAGCAUUUAGUUGGGCACUCUAAGGUGACUGCCGGUGACAAACCGGAGGAAGGUGGGGAUGACGUCAAAUCAUCAUGCCCCUUAUGACCUGGGCUACACACGUGCUACAAUGGAUAGUACAAAGGGCUGCAAGACUGCGAAGUCAAGCCAAUCCCAUAAAACCAUUCUCAGUUCGGAUUGCAGG
rnacentral:rRNA from 1 species